rnacentral:rRNA from 1 species
UACGUAGGGCGCGAGCGUUGUCCGGAAUUAUUGGGCGUAAAGAGCUCGUAGGCGGUUUGUCGCGUCGUUCGUGAAAACUCCACGCUUAACGUGGAGCGUGCGGGCGAUACGGGCAGACUUGAGUUCGGUAGGGGAGACUGGGAUUCCUGGUGUAGCGGUGAAAUGCGCAGAUAUCAGGAGGAACACCGGUGGCGAAGGCGGGUCUCUGGGCCGAUACUGACGCUGAGGAGCGAAAGCGUGGGGAGCGAACAGG